UACAGAGGGUGCGAGCGUUAAUCGGAAUUACUGGGCGUAAAGCGUGCGUAGGUGGUUGGCUAAGUCAGGUGUGAAAUCCCCGGGCUCAACCUGGGAACUGCAUUUGAUACUGGCCGGCUAGAGUUUGGUAGAGGGAAGUGGAAUUCCACGUGUAGCGGUGAAAUGCGUAGAUAUGUGGAGGAACACCAGUGGCGAAGGCGGCUUCCUGGACUAAAACUGACACUGAGGCACGAAAGCGUGGGGAGCAAACAGG
rnacentral:rRNA from 1 species